rnacentral:rRNA from 1 species
UACGUAGGGUGCGAGCGUUGUCCGGAAUUAUUGGGCGUAAAGAGCUCGUAGGCGGUGUGUCGCGUCGGCCGUGAAAACCUGCAGCUUAACUGUGGGCUUGCGGUCGAUACGGGCAUCACUGGAGUUCGGCAGGGGAGACUGGAAUUCCUGGUGUAGCGGUGAAAUGCGCAGAUAUCAGGAGGAACACCCGGUGGCGAAGGCGGGGUCUCUGGGGCCGAUAACUGACGC